UAAUACGUAGGGUCCGAGCGUUAAUCGGAAUUACUGGGCGUAAAGCGUGCGCAGGCGGUUUUGUAAGCCAGAUGUGAAAGCCCCGGGCUCAACCUGGGAAUGGCAUUUGGGACUGCAAGGCUGGAGUACGGCAGAGGGAGGUGGAAUUCCAGGUGUAGCAGUGAAAUGCGUAGAGAUCUGGAGGAACACCGAUGGCGAAGGCAGCCUCCUGGGCUAGUACUGACGCUCAUGCACGAAAGCGUGGGGAGCAAACAGGAUUAGAUACCCUGGUAGUCCACGCCCUAAACGAUGGCAACUAGUUGUUGGGGGAUUACAUCCCUUAGUAACGCAGCUAACGCGUGAAGUUGCCCGCCUGGGGAGUACGGUCGCAAGAUUA
rnacentral:rRNA from 1 species